rnacentral:sRNA from 1 species
AGCAGCCGCGGUAAUUCCAGCUCCAAUAGCGUAUAUUAAAGUUGUUGCAGUUAAAAAGCUCGUAGUUGAAUUUCGGGGUCAGUAGAUUGGUCGUGCCACUGGUAUGUACUGGUCUUACUGGCUCCUCCUUCCUGAUGAACCGUAAUGCCAUUAAUUUGGUGUUGCGGGGAGACUGGACUGUUACUUUGAAAAAUUAGAGUGUUUAAAGCAGGCUAACGCUUGAAUACAUUAGCAUGGAAUAAUGAAAUAGGACGUUCGAUCUUAUUUUGUUGGUUUCUAAGAUUGACGUAAUGAUUAAUAGGGAUAGUUGGGGGCAUUAGUAUUCAAUUGUCAGAGGUGAAAUUCUUGGAUUUAUUGAAGACUAACUACUGCGAAAGCAUUUGCCAAGGAUGUUUUCAUUAAUCAA